rnacentral:rRNA from 1 species
UGAGCAACCUGCCCUUGACCCUGGAAUAACCGCUGGAAACAGCUGCUAAUACCGGAUACGACCUCCGAUGGCAUCAUCUGGAGGUGGAAAGCUCCGACGGUCAAGGAUGGGCUCGCGGCCUAUCAGCUAGUUGGUGUGGGUAAUGGCCCACCAAGGCGACGACGGGUAGCCGGCCUGAGAGGGUGACCGGCCACACUGGGACUGAGACACGGCCCAGACCUCCGUACGGGAGCA